UGUUUGAGAAUCAACGUUGAAGAUGCCCUUCUAUUGCUUCCUCUGAUACAAAAUGAAUUUUGCCAUGAAAAAUAGAAACAUUCUUCCAGUAAACCAUUUUUGCAUGACGGAAGUUAAAGAACAAAGAAAGAUUUUCUAUUUUUUCCGAUCUCAAUUAAGAAAAAAGGAUUUCCUCUGCUUUGUAUUACAAAGCAACCAAUCGAUACAUCCAGCUCACU
rnacentral:lncRNA from 1 species